GACGAACGCUGGCGGCGCGCCUAACACAUGCAAGUCGAACGAGAGAUGAGGAGCUUGCUCUUCAAAUCGAGUGGCGAACGGGUGAGUAACGCGUGAGGAACCUGCCUCAAAGAGGGGGACAACAGUUGGAAACGACUGCUAAUACCGCAUAAGCCCACGGCUCGGCAUCGAGCAGAGGGAAAAGGAGCAAUCCGCUUUGAGAUGGCCUCGCGUCCGAUUAGCUAGUUGGUGAGGUAACGGCCCACCAAGGCGACGAUCGGUAGCCGGACUGAGAGGUUGAACGGCCACAUUGGGACUGAGACACGGCCCAGACUCCUACGGGAGGCAGCAGUGGGGAAUAUUGCACAAUGGGGGAAACCCUGAUGCAGCGACGCCGCGUGGAGGAAGAAGGUCUUCGGAUUGUAAACUCCUGCUGUUGAGGAAGAUAAUGACGGUACUCAACAAGGAAGUGACGGCUAACUACGUGCCAGCAGCCGCGGUAAAACGUAGGUCACAAGCGUUGUCCGGAAUUACUGGGUGUAAAGGGAGCGCAGGCGGGAGAACAAGUUGGAAGUGAAAUCCAUGGGCUCAACCCAUGAACUGCUUUCAAAACUGUUUUUCUUGAGUAGUGCAGAGGUAGGCGGAAUUCCCGGUGUAGCGGUGGAAUGCGUAGAUAUCGGGAGGAACACCAGUGGCGAAGGCGGCCUACUGGGCACCAACUGACGCUGAGGCUCGAAAGUGUGGGUAGCAAACAGGAUUAGAUACCCUGGUAGUCCACACCGUAAACGAUGAUUACUAGGUGUUGGAGGAUUGACCCCUUCAGUGCCGCAGUUAACACAAUAAGUAAUCCACCUGGGGAGUACGACCGCAAGGUUGAAACUCAAAGGAAUUGACGGGGGCCCGCACAAGCAGUGGAGUAUGUGGUUUAAUUCGACGCAACGCGAAGAACCUUACCAAGUCUUGACAUCCUGCGACGCACAUAGAAAUAUGUGUUUCCUUCGGGACGCAGAGACAGGUGGUGCAUGGUUGUCGUCAGCUCGUGUCGUGAGAUGUUGGGUUAAGUCCCGCAACGAGCGCAACCCUUAUGGUCAGUUACUACGCAAGAGGACUCUGGCCAGACUGCCGUUGACAAAACGGAGGAAGGUGGGGAUGACGUCAAAUCAUCAUGCCCUUUAUGACUUGGGCUACACACGUACUACAAUGGCGUUAAACAAAGAGAAGCAAGACCGCGAGGUGGAGCAAAACUCAGAAACAACGUCCCAGUUCGGACUGCAGGCUGCAACUCGCCUGCACGAAGUCGGAAUUGCUAGUAAUCGUGGAUCAGCAUGCCACGGUGAAUACGUUCCCGGGCCU
rnacentral:rRNA from 1 species